rnacentral:tRNA from 1 species
GCCGGAUUAGUUUAAUGGUAAAACGAGUGAAUCGUAAUCAUUUGAUGCGAGUUCGAUUCUUGCAUCCGGCACCA